rnacentral:lncRNA from 1 species
AGCUGAAGUAUGGUUGUAAAUUGUUCUCAAAGUAAGUUCACUGGUGAGUCUUUUUCUUACCUAAUGAAUAAGCACAUCCCCACCUCUCUACCCCCAAGGACAAAACAAACAAAGCCCUCUAUAAGCAUAGAGUAACAUUAAAUUACAAGUGCAGUGCUUUGCCCCAGAUAGGAUUCAUGAGGGCAUCAGGGAGGAAAAGGGACAGUGAAGUCGCCCAUUAUCUUUUUAAAAGGAGUAGUGUUCUUUGUUUUUGAUGAUAGGAAUUUUAGAGAAUCUUUGAUUAUUUAAGUAGCGAAGAACCUUGUCUAUCUUAGAGGUUAUUAAAUCAUUUGUGUUCUGAGUUCUAGUGAAAAUUGUGAGAAAGACCAAAUCCAUGAUUGUCCAAUUGAAGAUAGCUGUAUUUUGGGGUGCACCUGGGACUGACUGCCCAGCCUUUCCCUAAGUCAGGAUUUCUGAGAGCAGCCCCUGCCUUCCUCUUGAGUUCCCUUUUAUCAGAGAGAUAAGUGUUCACAGAGAGGGCUGGCUGUUUACAUUGUUAGAAAGGUACAAUGGAAGGGAAGGAACUGGGAAGGAACAAAGGGAAGGGAAUCAUGGGAAUGGGGUCCCAAGGUUAGUGAGGGGUGAAAAACAUGUUUUGUAGUUUACCUAGAUCUAAGAAACAGGAACUUACUCUUAAUUACAGAUAGAAACCUUAACUUGCAGGGACUUGACACAGGAACUUACUCUUUAACUACAAACAGAAAUUUCAACCUGCACAGGACAAAGGGAACUUACUCUUAACUGUCUUAGCUGCAAACAGAAACCUUAACCUGCAAGGUCUAUUUUCUUGUUUUGGUCUUCAGCUAGCUAGUUGCUUUCCUGGGGGCUUACUUAUUUACUUAGUUACUUCUCUUCCUGGUUCUUGGGUUGGAAUCCCACUGCUAAGAACAUACUCUUGUCUUGAAAUAAACUUGAUUGUGUGUUUCAGAGGGUGCUACUAGCUGGUCUUAGAUCCUAUUUGACAACUCUAUUUUAAGCCCAAGCCAACUUCUGUGAUUUUUGUUUGUUUGUUUGUAUUACCUUCACUUAGACCUUUGUAUUUUGAACACCAUCAUCUAGUUUUCUGACUUUUACCAAGGCCAAGGUAUUCUUUUUUUUUUUUUUUUAAAUCUGUUUUUUAAAGACGUUAUCUGGCUAUGUAUGUUCCAGGCUGCCUUUAAGCUCCAGUUCCUCAUGUCUCUAUCAGCUAAUUAUUGGAAUUACAGAUGUGUGCUACCACUUCUGACUUAUAUUUUUACACUCUCUCCUUCCCUUUUUCCUUCUCAUGUCCUUUUCCCUCUUUUUCUCUUCUCCCCUCCUCCCUCCCUUCUUCCAUGCUGGAGAUUGAAACCAGAUCUAGAACAUAUAAGCACACUAUCACUAAACUACAUUAUUAGUUCCUGCUAGAUUAAACACAGACCCAACAGUAGAUAGCUUGUGGUCUUUUGUGUCUUAUCCCUUUGACUUAACAUAAAUUGUUGGAAGUUCAUGUUGUAGCAGGUAUUGCUAUACCUUUCCUUUUUAUUGCUUAAUAUUUCCAUUGUUUAUAAAUGUGCUUGUUCAGUAGCUGAUGGGUAAUUUAAGAACAUUAAGAAUAUUGCUUAUAUAAAGAAAAUAUCCAAUUAAAAAAAAGAUUAUUGAGUAUGUGACAUCUGCUCACAGUUCUCUUAUGUGGGUACCUAAGAGUGGAAAUUUGAAUUUCAAUGUUAUAUUUUUAAGAAACUAACAAAUUGUUUUAUUUUAUAUUUCAUUUUUUUGAGACAGGAUCUCAAUAUGUACUCUGUCUUGGAACUCACUAUGGAGACCAGGCUGGCCUGGAACUUAGAGAUCCACCUGCCUCUGCCUUUUUGUGCUGGGACUCUUUUCUCAUUAGUGGUGAAUGGCUACAGUUUCUCUGUCUGUGUUGUCACUUGUCUAUCUUUGUGUUUGUGUGUUUGUUGGUUGCAGAUUUUUCUGCAUCCUUGCUAGUGCUCCUUGUCUAUGAUGGAGGGAUGCAAUUCUUGCACAUCCUGGCUGACACUUGUAAUUGUCUCCCACUUUCUUUAAGGCCAUUCUCAUGGGAGUGAUGUAGCUGAUGAUGGGCUUAUUUUUGGGUGAGAUGCCUCUUCAGGUAACUGUUCGUCUUAUAGUUGCAUCAUCAUCCUGAGAUUGAGUUGUAAGAAUUCUGUGUUUUCGAUGUAUUUUGUUUGUUCCUGUAAACAGAAAAUUCACAUAUGCCUUUUUAAAAUCUCUGUCUUACUACUUUUCUCUCUUGCUUUUUUUUUUCUGUCCUUAGUGAAUUUUUAAGGGAGAGUUUUUCAACUCAAUAUAAUUGAUGCUCAUUUCAAAGAUUAGAGGGGACAAUGAAUUGAUAGACCAAUGACGUUGGUCUUUAUCUUUCCUUUAGAAAGUACUUAAAUCCAGUCAUAGUGGUCCAUAUUCUUAGUGCCAGUACUUAAGAGGCAGAGGCAAGAGGAUUCAGAACUAGAGCUAGACACAGACAUACACACUCACACACACACACACACACACACACACGCACAAACACACACAGAGUGAGAGAGAAAGAGAUAGACUGUUUAAAACAAAACAGAAGUACUCCAGUAGUCCUGCUUCUGCUUGCUUAAUGACACUAUGUCACAAUUUCAAACCUCAUGUCUCAGGAGCCAUUUCUAUUGUAUAAAUCUUUUGUCAUAGUUACUUGAACAGUCAGAUGUCGUAGGUGGAACAACAGACACAUAUAAGGUAAAAGACAGAUAUAAGGUAAAAGUAUAUUUACUGGGCUAAGGAUGUAGCUCAGUUGGUAGAAUGCAUGUUUAACAUCCAUGAAGCCCUAGGUUCUAUAUCUAGUGUCGAAUUUGGCACACUGCUGUCACCUCAGGAGUAGGAUGCAGGAGGAUCAAGGUCAUCCUGAGCUACAGAGUGCAUUUGAGGUGAGACUGGGAGACCUGAGACCCUGACUCAAAGAAAGG